AUGAAAGUGAAAUCAAGAAGAAUACAUUUGAUCUGUGGUGGAAGCAAUGCGUUUUUCGGCGGCGAGUUUGGUGGUGUCGGAUUCGAAAUGGUUGAUGUGCGACUUUUUCAAUUUUCUACAAACUUCACUAUGAUUGUUUAUGCAAUUUCGAGGAAAUUGAGGAAAUAUAGGAGUUUACGUCAAGGAAUUUGGUCCAUAAGAGAUUCUUGA